AGUUCCUUGGUACGUUGCGCUCGAUGCCGUUCUCCUUUGUCUGCGGGAGACGUCGGCAGGUCUUCUUUCUGAAGAUUCUGCCCUUCCUCGGGAAGAGGAAGAGGGAAUGGUUUCUGGGUGCUUUGCCAUCAGGUCCCAGCCUCUCAGAUUCAUGAAGGCAAUGAUUCAACUAUUGUGCUCAAAGGAACAACAAACUGGAGGAAUUCCAUGGGGACUGGAACAACCUCCAGGAAUUGACGCAGAGCGAGAGGAGCAGAACCAGGAGAACAUUGUACACAGAGACCAACACACUGUGGCACAAUUGAAUGAAAUGAACCUCCCCACCAGCAGCAAUGCAAUGAUCCAGGACAAUCCUGAGGGCCUUAGGAGAAAGAACACUAUCCACACCCAGAGGAAGAACUGUGGGAGUAGAAACACAGAAGAAAAACAACUGCCUGACCACAUGAGUCAAUGGGGACAUGAUUGGGGAUGUAGACGCUAAACAAUCACACCCAAAAAAUUCCACCAUCAACAACACGGAAAUGAAUCUUGAUCAAUGACACAUGUAAAACCCAGUGGAACCGCGUGUCGGCUAUGGGAGGGGUAGUGUCUUGGUUUUUAAAUCAAAUAUAAGGUGGUCGCCAGGGAAAUAUUCCCAAUUAUUUAAAUACCCAAGUCAACUGGGUUUUAUAGAGAUUUUAAUUAAUACAAAUGUGGAAUUAAAGAAAAGAGAGAAAAAGGAAAUAAGUAUGAAGGGCCUUAAGCCAACAUGGCCUAGACCUGAGUCUUAAGAGAGAUCAGUCAGUCAGUCUUUUAACACUCACCCCAAGGUCUGUCUAAGCAAGGAUUCUAGUGACACCAGGCCAGCUCCAUCUCAGCUGACUUCACCAGAGAGAGUUCCAGCCAGAGUCCUCCUUAAAGAGCCUUCCAGCCAGAUACUGUUCCAAAGGGCCUCUCUCCAGAGCCUCCAGAGGGACAGAGCCCUCAGAGGAGCUCCAGCGAGACCUCCUUUGAGAUUGUCCUCCAAGAGCUUCCCUUCUCCAGAGCCUCUCUCAAGAGAUUUUUCCCAAGCGAUCCUCAUCAGAGAUCCUCCAAAAGGAUUUUUUUCUCAAGAGAUUCUGCUUUUCUUAUAUAGGGGUUUUUCUCCUAUGUCACCUCCCCUAAGUCCUUACAUCUACCAAUCACUGUAGAUGUUUUCCCAUCUGAAUUCCUGAUAAGUCGACUAAUCUCCUCAGUAAGUCUGAACCAGUGAAAACACAGCUGAGUCAACUAAUCUCAUUAAGAGAAAACUUGCCCGACCCUUUUAGGUACCUAUCAUCCCAUUGUAUCAAUUCUAAAAAACAGGCAUGGCUCAAAGAACUCCUUGCCUUAUUAUAAGCAUGGGUCCAAAUACUUUCAUUGUUUAGCAAGGAGUUUUCUCCCCUAAAACAGUCUUAAGUACGGGUGGAGUAGAGGUCCUCCCAUUUCUGAUCCUGGCGAGUUUUCACAUCAAAAUGGGGAAUGUUUCCCAGUAGGGAAUUUGUUCCAAUGGAGCAUUCCUCAAUGUGGAAAUUUUUAACAUUCACAAGUCUGAGAAAUUUCAAGAUUUACAUGUCCCACAUGAACAGGAAUACCAUCGACAGCCUACCGGGCAAGAAAAAUGAGGUUUCCUUGGCAUGCUUGGUGCUGGAUGAAGCCUUGUUGGCUUUUUGUGUUUACUGUUGUCUUUCCCAGAAGUUCUCUAGCCAUCCAUCUAGCCAAUCAUACAUUCUGGAAUUUUGCCAGAAAUCAAUGGCAAUCUUUCUCUCUUCUAGCUUACAGAAUCCACUCAAUUGCCUUUUGUGAAAAUGAAGAAACAUUUACCCUUUUGGACCUGAUUUGCACUCAUCAAGAGCAUAGAGGUGCACCCUUACUAUAUCCCUAUCCAUGAAUUCACUGUUAGCCACAUUUGCUCUGUCCUUUCCAGGUCAAAGAUUAUUCUUGGCCAAACAGUCCCUCUCCCUUUCUCUCUCAAAACAAAUACGCACACAAUUACACAUAUUUCUUAAGCUUACCAAUACCUGGCACAUAGAAGUUAGGUCCUGAGGAUAUACAGAAUAAAUAAAAAGAGUCCCUGCUGGCAAGUUUACAUUCUGCCUGGAGAAAAACAUCUACAGAGUAAUUGUUGGGUAUGUCUUCAGUGCCUUUUUCUGUGUCCUGCUUUAGCUAUAUUUGGUCUAUUUUGGUCUAUUGUCUUAUUGUUGUGAUUCUCUUAAACAUUUAUUAUUUCUACAGCAUUUUCUUUCACCUUCUCAUUAUUCAGGAUAUCAUUACUGAGUGUUUCAUUUAAUUAUGUGCCUUUUUCUUAUGUUCUCUGAAUUGUAUUUUUUACUUUAUUAUUAUGGAUAAAGGGCAUAGUUAAUAUUUCUACCUUAUGUAAAAAUGUAAAUUAAUAUCAAUAAUGAUAAAUUCCAGGUUCUUAUUUUCCAUAGAGUUUUAUUAAUAAUCACUAAAGAUAGAAAAAGCAGAUUAAAGCCUAAUUUAACCCAACUGACCACUGCCUGGCUCUCAGUCAUGGUCCCACCCAGCUGACUCCAAGGGAAUAGAGAGAGUGGGUAUGUCUUGCCCCACAUUUUUAUCCUUUCUCUUGAACCCAGACCCAUAACCUUCAGUUCCAGGUAGUGUUCUUAGGGCUUUUCACCUGUGACCUCUGUUUGGAGUGUUCAUGUGACAUCCAGCCACACAGUAAGGUAGGGACAAGCUGUGGGGAAGAGAAAUGGAUUCUAUCUAAACAAUCCCCCCUGUGAUUCUUUGGGAAACAACCAUGUUGAAAUGUCCCAGAUUUACAUGUCUAGUCUCCCCAGUGAAUCAUUUUACAUAACCAACUUAUAUUUCUAAAGAUCUCUUAUUAGAUGUACAUACAAUAUCGCACUUUCUAAGGGGAAAUUACAAUAAUACAAAGAUAAGAGGGAAAUGAAAAGAGAUGUUAUUAAAUUUUAUACUUAUUACAUUUAUUUAUGAUUUCUUAUGUUGUUGUUCAUGGUUAAUUUUUGCUGUUGCUGAGAAAUUUCUAUGUCCUCAGAUAUUACCAUUCAGGAGCCCUUUCAUUGAAAUUUUUCAACAAACUGAUCAGCUCUAUGAUGUUCUUCUUUCUCUCUUUUUUUUUUUGGUUUAUCAUUCUGUUUAUCAUUUAUCUACCUCUGAAAGAAGAACAUUAAAUUAGCAUAAAAUUAUAUUUUGCUAUCUAUAUCUUUUUGUAAUUUGAGUAUCUUUUGUUUAUCAUUAUAGAUUCUAUAUCAUUUGACAGCAAUAAAAUAUAUGUGUGUACAUAUUAAUCUAAUGAUAUUGUUUCAAUGUCUAUGUUGCAACUAAGCAAAAUGCAAAUUUCUGUUACUUUUUGACAUUGUUUUAAAUUUAAAACAUUUUUGUUUAGUUGUUAAUUGUUUCAAUUGUCUGAUUUCAUGAUUGUAACUCUUGCUUUUGGGGAGUUUCCUGAAUCAGUAAAUUUUACUCUAGCCAUUCA